GAUGGACGCUGGCGGCGUGCCUAAUACAUGCAAGUCGAGCGAACAGACGAGGAGCUUGCUCCUCUGACGUUAGCGGCGGACGGGUGAGUAACACGUGGAUAACCUACCUAUAAGACUGGGAUAACUUCGGGAAACCGGAGCUAAUACCGGAUAAUAUAUUGAACCGCAUGGUUCAAUAGUGAAAGACGGUUUUGCUGUCACUUAUAGAUGGAUCCGCGCCGCAUUAGCUAGUUGGUAAGGUAACGGCUUACCAAGGCAACGAUGCGUAGCCGACCUGAGAGGGUGAUCGGCCACACUGGAACUGAGACACGGUCCAGACUCCUACGGGAGGCAGCAGUAGGGAAUCUUCCGCAAUGGGCGAAAGCUUGACGGAGCAACGCCGCGUGAGUGAUGAAGGUCUUCGGACCGUAAAACUCUGUUAUUAGGGAAGAACAAAUGUGUAAGUAACUAUGCACGUCUUGACGGUACCUAAUCAGAAAGCCACGGCUAACUACGUG
rnacentral:rRNA from 1 species